ACGCUCGACACCUACGAGAGGCAGCAGUAGGGAAUCUUCCGCAAUGGACGAAAGUCUGACGGAGCAACGCCGCGUGAACGAUGAAGGUUUUCGGAUCGUAAAGUUCUGUUGUUAGGGAAGAACAAACUUCGUUUGAAUAAGGCGGAGUCAUGACGGUACCUAACGAGAAAGCCACGGCUAACUACGCGCCAGCAGCCGCGGUAAUCUGAGCGGGCUGGCAAGGC
rnacentral:rRNA from 1 species